AUUGAACGCUGGCGGCAUGCUUUACACAUGCAAGUCGAACGGUAACAGGCCGCAAGGUGCUGACGAGUGGCGAACGGGUGAGUAAUGCAUCGGAACGUGCCCAAUCGUGGGGGAUAACGCAGCGAAAGCUGCGCUAAUACCGCAUACGAUCUGUGGAUGAAAGCGGGGGACCUUCGGGCCUCGCGCGAUUGGAGCGGCCGAUGUCAGAUUAGGUAGUUGGUGGGGUAAAGGCUCACCAAGCCGACGAUCUGUAGCUGGUCUGAGAGGACGACCAGCCACACUGGGACUGAGACACGGCCCAGACUCCUACGGGAGGCAGCAGUGGGGAAUUUUGGACAAUGGGGGCAAACCUGAUCCAGCAAUGCCGCGUGCAGGAAGAAGGCCUUCGGGUUGUAAACUGCUUUUGUACGGAACGAAAAGGCUCUGGUUAAUACCUGGGGCUCAUGACGGUACCGUAAGAAUAAGCACCGGCUAACUACGUGCCAGCCGCCGCAGUAAGAC
rnacentral:rRNA from 1 species